GACGAACGCUGGCGGCGUGCUUAACACAUGCAAGUCGAGCGGUAAGGCCCUUUCGGGGUACGACGAGCGGCGAACGGGUAGGAGUAACAACGUGGGUGGACCUCGCCCUUACGUCUCUGGGAGUAAAGACCUCGGGAAACGUAGGGUCGUAAUAACCGGAGUAUGACUCCAUGACGCAUGUUGUGGGGUGGGAAAGACCUUGUGCGGCUAGGGAGUGGGCCCGGCCGGCCUAUCAGCUUGUUGGUGGGGUGGAUGGCCUACCAAGG
rnacentral:rRNA from 1 species